rnacentral:lncRNA from 1 species
AUACCUUUUUUAGCAAUAUUCAACCAUUUCUUAUCAUUUAAACUGCCUCCACGUGCAUCAUGCAUGACAAAAGGAAUGAAGUAUUAAUUUCACAAUCGUAAACGUAAUUAAAAGUUUAAUUUCAUUAAGUCAACAUUUAAAAGAAUACCAAAGAGUCAAUUCAUGUACUGAACCAAGGGGCAAGUGGAUUGUCGGUGAUUGAUGAGUGACUUCGACUGACCAUCAUGUUAGCCUCCAUAUGCGUACAAUUGUAUUCGUAUACAAAAGACAUCGCUCGUUAAUCUCACGAGAGAAACAUGUUAAUCAACAGUUCACAGAAUUAAAAGGUGGUUAAUAUAAUUUUUUAAUUUCAAUUAUUUAAACAGUCAUCAAAUCUGUCAAAUUUAUUUUUUCAGAUUAAACAAAAAAAUAAAAAAAACAAGUGUAGUCUAUUGAAAUUUCUAUACUUUCCAUGAAAAAUGUGUAUUUUAAUAUUAACACAUCUCAAUCUUGAUUUAUCCUCUUAUUAUUAUCUCUUCUUCCUCAAAAAAUUGCUAGAUUAACAAAUAUUGCAAUAAUUUACAUAUCUAAAUUAGUUUUUUUAUAUUUGCAUAC